rnacentral:piRNA from 1 species
UGCCUUGUGAGAGCUGAGGAUUUCAGCUGAGU